rnacentral:rRNA from 1 species
AAUAAGUCGAAUAUUACGAACCACAGUUUAAAAUUCCAAGAUCUUGGCGGUGUCUUAUAAAACCAGGGGAACCUGUCUCAUAACUCGAUAGUCCACGACUUCCCAACCUCUUUUAGAAACUCAGCUUGUGUACUGCCGUUGUAAGCACACCUCUAAAAGAACAAGUGUGCUACUAUGAUUAAUAAUAACCCAACCUUCACACACAUCAGGUCAAAGUGCAGCCAAUAAAGAGGAGAUGAUGGGUUACAACCCACAAAAAGAAACGAACUAAGUAAUAAAAAACCUAUAGGGGGACUUGGCUGUAAUUAACUACUCUCAUUAACAAAUGAAUAACAAUCUAAGACAUGCACACAUCGCCCG